rnacentral:rRNA from 1 species
GACGAACGCUGGCGGCGGGCUUAACACAUGCAAGUCGAACGGAAAGGCCCUGCUUUUGUGGGGUGCUCGAGUGGCGAACGGGUGAGUAACACGUGAGUAACCUGCCCUUGACUUUGGGAUAACUUCAGGAAACUGGGGCUAAUACCGGAUAGGAGCUCCUGCUGCAUGGUGGGGGUUGGAAAGUUUCGGCGGUUGGGGAUGGACUCGCGGCUUAUCAGCUUGUUGGUGGGGUAGUGGCUUACCAAGGCUUUGACGGGUAGCCGGCCUGAGAGGGUGACCGGCGACAUUGGGCCUGAGAUACGGCCCAGACUGCUACGGGAGGCAGCAGUGGGGAAUAUUGCACAAUGGGCGGAAGCCUGAUGCAGCAACGCCGCGUGCGGGAUGACGGCCUUCGGGGUGUAAACCGCUUUCGCCUGUGACGAAGCGUGAGUGACGGUAAUGGGUAAAGAAGCACCGGCUAACUACGUG